CUGGUAUAUAGUCUGGGACAGAGAAAAGCUGCAUGUAGUGAGUGUAGAAGAAAGGGAACAUGCCACAGUGUUAGAGAGACCAAAGUCAGCAUUACCUUAACCCCUUAAGGACCAAACUUUUGAAAUAAAAGGGAAUCAUGACAUGUCACACAUGUCAUGUGUCCUUAAGGAUCACUAUAGGAUCAGGAACACAAACAUGAAUUCAUG